GCAAGCCACGCCACUGUUUCCAUUCGUCCCCCGACAAACUUCAACUCUCGGGAACCACCUCACUCCGCCCUCCUGCCCAUGGCCGGCCGCGUCCUCCUCCGCGCCACCGCACUCGGCCUCGCCGCAGCGGGGGCGGGGGCCCUGCACGCCGUCUCCAGGUGGACGCCGCCCAAGGACCUGGCUCCCUACGUCCUGUCCGUGAGGUUCGUGCUACUCGAGUCCGCGCAGGGCGCCGAGCACGACCUCGCGCUCGCUGACGUCGACCGCGCCGAGGGCGGCGACCCCGCCGCGGCCGCCAACCUCCGCCUCCUCGCGUUCCUCGCCACCCGCGACGGCCGCGCCGACGACGCUCUGCGCAUCUACGAGGAGGCGGCCCGCGACGCGCUGUUCGACCCCCGCCCCCGCGCCCUCGCCUACCACCUGUGCUGCUUCGACGGGCGAGAGGACGAGUCGUUGCGGUGGAGCGCGGCCUACCGCCGCCUCGUCCCCGUCAUCGACGGCGCAAGCCAGGAGCCAGGGAUGGAGUCCCACGAGAUGCGGGAGCUCGUCCGCGAGUUGUUCAUCGCGGCGACGGUGGGCGGCGUCUGCAGGAUCGUCCACCCCGUGGACAGGGCCGUUGUCAUGCACGCGGCCUGCGGCGCACUAGACCAGGGGCUAGUCGCCGCGCUGCAGGACAAGGCGCUGUCAGCGACAGAGAGGCUUCAGCUGCGAGCUCUCCGCGUGUAUCUGCACGCCAAGGUGUGGCUUCUCAUCAAGGAGGAGGCGCGGGACGUGGCCGACGGUGUUGCGGAGGCAUCUCCUGUUUCAUGAUGAGGUUGACAUAUAACUACAGAAGUCGACAGUUCUGUUUUUCUGAAGUGACUGAUCGCUCAAGUUACUAUGGAGCCAUGUUCGAUUCAUCAGCAUUAAGGUUCUAGAUUGUAAGCAGAGAUGUUCAACUAGCAGAUCCGUUAACCACAGAAGCUAGGUUAUUGCUUUGCAAGAAUGUUAGUUCAUCUGCCGCUCGAAUAGAGUUGCCUUCUAUAAGGUCAUAUGCUCCAAGUUGAUUUCCAAAUUUUUUCAGAUUAUGAGUUGGAGAUGCAAUUACUUUUUACACAUUGGUGUGCAAGCUAUUGUAACCUCCCUAUCUUUGCAUUUAGUAUGCUCUCUGGGUUCCUGAUGAGACAAGCUACGUUUCCAUUUGAUAUCAUCUCAUGCUUCUGCUUGUUUGUGUCUCAUCUUAUCCUGUAACGAUUGU